rnacentral:lncRNA from 1 species
GUUUAUUUGUGCCUUCCCCUCCCUAGAAUAUAAGAUCACAGAUAGCAGGAAUCUUGUAUGGUUUCUUUUAUCAGGUACAUGUAAAAGACUCAAUAUUUGAUUACUGAGUGAAUAAACAAUUACCAGUAUCAAAAAGUAUUAAAGUGGAAAACUGCAGGCUGCUAUGGAAACAGUUACCAGUAGCCUAGUUUGGAGUAUCAGAGGUUUCUCUGGUGAAGUGACAUUUAAAAUGAGACUUGAAACCACCGAUGGGCAAAGAAGUGGGCAAAGAAUGAGAUGGGUGGAGGAAGUAACAUGUGCCAAGGUUCUAAAGCUGACACUGUGAUGAGUCCCUGGAAACUAGUGUGGCAGGCCCUCAGAGAAUUGAGGGGCAGAGCCCAGGCCAUAUAGGAAGGCAGGGGACAGAUCCAUAAGAUAGUAUGGAUUGGGAAACCCCAUGGGAAUCCUUGGAAGGAUUUCACCUAGGUUAUCUUGUGUCUUGCUUUUUCCCUUCAUGUAGCCUUUUUCCGUAUAAAGUGUUCUUAAUUUUACAUAGCCAACAUUUAAGCAUAAAAGUAGUAUAAUUCCAUUG